rnacentral:lncRNA from 1 species
AAUCCUGUCGCAGGAGUGAUGGGACCGGCCUAUGGUACAUAUAUGAAUAUUUAUGAUAUGAAUAUUAUCAUAUAGUGGUGCCAUCCUCCUGCGACAUGAUUCCCUUCAACCUCUAGCUGACAACUCAAUUUUGAUGUUUUUUCUCUCUCUUUAUGUUAGAAACUUUCAAUCAACAGGUUAUAGAACGGGUUAGUUUGUAAGUUCAGUUUUUUGUUUGUACUAUAGUUUUGUCGAACUGGAUUGAAGAAGUUGAGUUGUGAUCGGUUUACCUAAUUUUUAUUUUGAAAUUAUUUUGGUACAAUUUUUUAUGUUCAUGUCCUUUUGAUAAUUAGAAAAUUAUUUGCAUGUCCUUUUAAACUUCUCCAGCAGUGCUAUUCUGAUUAUUUUAACUAGGU